CAUAUAUUAUUCAAAACUAAACUCACCCUUCCGUCUAUUUACAGGGUAUUUGAACACAAAGCACUGCAUCCAAGCACAUAAUCGUUGGCAGAAACGACACAAAUUACCAAAACCCGAAAGCACACACACACACACACAAACACGUGCGAAGUGGAAAACUGAAUGGCAACAACUGAAAACAGUCUCGUCUUUAUUUAAAACCGGGCAAAAAGAUUUUCUCUCUGCUCCUUUAGCCUCACGUCGUAUUCCUAUUUAAAUAUUGUGCAGCUUUUACAGCCGAGGCUCUGUUGAAAUUGUUACGGCUGCCAUUGAAAUGUUGUCGUGUGGAAGUGAGCAUAUUUUCCAAGCAAUUAGUGGUUGGAAAAGCGCACGCCAAAUGGACAACAAAGUCGAAGACUGGGUCAAGUGAGCAGCACAUAAAAACAUUUACAUGUAGGCGAAUGCAUAUGGGCACAGUCUGUACGAAAAGCGUCCAAUCAUCUCUUAGCCUUGAACCAGCUUUUAACAAUUUAAAGAAAAAGACAGGACAUCAAAAUCGCCUUUAUGGUUGCCGAGAUAUGGAUAUUGUUAUUUUAAAGGACAUUAAAUUGACCACCUCAUGUAGUCCUUAUCCCGCCAACAUAGAAUAUGUAAUAAAAAGGACGAAAUCCUUCAAGGAGCUGAGGAAAAGAGAUUUUUGUCGGUUGAGAUAAAAGGCUGUAGAUCGGCCGUAUCCUUGCUGAUCAUGAUGUCAAUUUGCCAACCUUUGACAAAUUAAGGACUACAGUGAGCUCUAAGGACCUCAACGACUGAUAAAGCAAUUUUUUCCAGGAUCGGACUUCAAUUAAGCCAGAUAUAGCUAUUUUAAGUUCAGAUAAGCAACAAUUAUAACUUAUGCUCGU